CAGAUGAGGAGGCGUUUGAAUCUGAGGAGCUCAGAGAAGAGGAGGAUGACUUCAGCAGCAACAUUGAAGGGAUCUACUUAGCGGGUUUCAGGCGCAGCAUGCGUCUGUGUCGGCGGCGCUCUCACAGCACCGCCCAGCCGUCCUGCCACAUCCGCUGCCCCAGCAGCUGCUACAGCGCCCUCAG